rnacentral:rRNA from 1 species
CUUACGGGAGGCAGCAGUGAGGAAUAUUGGUCAAUGGCCGGCAGUCUGAACCAGCCAUGCCGCGUGAAGGUCAGUGCCCUAUUGGCGUUAAACUUCUUUUUUUCAGGAACAAUAAUGCUCCCGUUUUGCCAUCCUACAUUUCCUUUCUGAUCAACAUCGGCUCACUCCGUUCCCGCCGCCGCGGUAAUACGGGGGAUGCAAGCGUUUUCCGGAUUUAUUGGGUUUAAAGGGUGCGUAGGCUGUGAGGUAAGUCAGCGGGGAAAUGCCCACGCUCAAAGGGGUGAAGUGCCAUUGAUACUGGCAGGCUGGAAUGCGGAUGCCGUGGGAGGAAUGUGUGGUGUAGCGGUGAAAUGCAUAGAUAUCACACAGAACACCGAUUGCGAAGGCAUCUUACGAAGCCGCGAUUGACGCUGAUGCACGAAAGCGUGGGUAUCAAACAGGAUUAGAUACCCUAGUAGUC